GAUGAACGCUGGCGGCGUGCUUAAUACAUGCAAGUCGAGCGAACGGACGAGAAGCUUGUUUCUCUGAUGUUAGCGGCGGACGGGUGUGUCACAUGUGGAUAACCUACCUAUAAGACUGGGAUAACUUCGGGAAACCGUAGCUAAUCCCGGAUAAUAUUCUGAACCGCAGGGGUCAAAAGUGAAAGACGGUCUUGCUGUCACGUAUAGAUGCAUCUCGGCUGCAUUAGCUAGUUGGUCAGGUCACGGCUUAUCAAGGGAAGGAGUCAUAGCCGACGUGAGAGGGGGAUAGCCCACCCGGGAACUGAGCCACGGACCUGAGGACUACGGGAGGCAGCAGUAGGGAACCGUCCGCAGUAGGCGAAAGCCUUACGGAGCGGCGCCGCGUGAGUGAUGAAGGUCUUCGGAUCGUAAAACUCUGUUAUUAGUGGAGAACAGCUGUGUAAGUAACUGUACACAUCUUGACGGUACCUAGUCAGAAAGCCACGGCUAACUACGUG
rnacentral:rRNA from 1 species